rnacentral:ncRNA from 1 species
AUAUUAACUGUGAUAGAGAAAGUAGAUAUAUAGUUUUUUUUAGAGAGAAAAGGUCUUGGCUGGGAGCCUUUUUAAGAAGUUAUAUAUUGAAGUUCACUCUGGAGUUCUAGUUGUGAAACAGUGAAGUAGCAAUUAGCGGGUAAGAUCGAUAAAUCUGCAAAGAGAAUAUUGUUAAUGUUUAGCAGUAUUAAUUUGGGUGGUAACGCGGAUAUAAGUUCGUCCCUUAA